UAAGGAAUAUUGGUCAAUGGAGGCAACUCUGAACCAGCCAUGCCGCGUGAAGGAUGAAGGUCCUCCGGAUUGUAAACUUCUUUUAUGUGGGAAGAAACCGAUACAUUCUUGUGUCGUUGACGGUACCAUAGGAAUAAGCACCGGCUAACUCCGUGCCAGCAGCCGCGGUAAUACGGAGGGUGCAAGCGUUAUCCGGAUUCACUGGGUUUAAAGGGUGCGUAGGUGGGAAUGUAAGUCAGUGGUGAAAUCUCCGUGCUUAACACGGAAACUGCCAUUGAUACUAUGUUUCUUGAAUUUUCUGGAGGUUAGCGGAAUAUGUCAUGUAGCGGUGAAAUGCUUAGAUAUGACAUAGAACACCAAUUGCGAAGGCAGCUAACUACAGGGAUAUUGACACUGAGGCACGAAAGCGUGGGGAUCAAAC
rnacentral:rRNA from 1 species